CAUUAUGUAUAUCUUCUGACUGCUUAAAAAAAUGCACAUCUUCAGACAUAAUCAAAAUGUUAAAAAGGCAAAUGUCACUUAGCCUAAAGCACAGAAGACACAAAGGAAGAGAAUCUAUAGUGGACAAAACAUAUCUAUAUCUGAAAACUAUUUGGAACAAAUAAAUGUAUAUAGCUAAAGAAGCACCAAAGAUCAUACAAGAAGGAUGUUAUAUAUUUCAGAUCCUCCAGGCACAAUUUAGGUUGUCUACGCUGCAUUACUGUUAUCUUCAAGGUAUAAAUUUCAUUCCUCAACAUUGCAUGAACUUUCGAAAUGCUUGAUGUACACUGAAUCCAUGCUGCAUCACAAAUGCUUCUUUAAAGACUCCUGACUAAUGAUUUGCUCUACUUAGAUGCAACCAUUGGAUACUCAAUACUUGAACAUACUCCUGUGUUCUUCAGAGAAAGGUUGAGAGGUUCUCAGGUGGUUCAAUCCAGAUAUUCUCAAAAGGAUCUUGCUCUCCCCAGUCAUGACACUGCUUGCGAGGAUAGUAUCUACAGUCAUCAAGAGAGUAUGAUAUGCAACGCUUUCCAAAAAACCGAACUUUAGAAAAGUAGAUACUGUUUCUCAUUAUUCCAGGGAGGUCAGCUCUUGAAUGAGAUGAUAAGAAACUGGCAAACAGUGUCACACCAUCAAGGGUCUUCAUCUCUUCCCACAUCAUAUUUGACUGAUUCAACUUAAAUAUAAUUGGGUUUUCACUACAACAUGUAUAAAUAACUAAAAUGUCUCCAUUGUGCUCUGACAUAAAUUUUCCUUUCCACCAAUUUUUAGCAAAAAAAUUCUCUGGGCAUUUAGGCGGGGGCACAACAAGAACAUUCCAAGUACGUUCCACUGGGUUGAAAACACCUAGCCAGCCAGUGGGACUUAGGCAGUAAAAAAGUCCACUGCAGAAAACAAU
rnacentral:misc_RNA from 1 species